GACGAACGCUGGCGGCGUGCCUAAUACAUGCAAGUUGAGCGCUGAAGGUUGGUACUUGUACCAACUGGAUGAGCAGCGAACGGGUGAGUAACGCGUGGGGAAUCUGCCUUUGAGCGGGGGACAACAUUUGGAAACGAAUGCUAAUACCGCAUAAAAACUUUAAACACAAGUUUUAAGUUUGAAAGAUGCAAUUGCAUCACUCAAAGAUGAUCCCGCGUUGUAUUAGCUAGUUGGUGAGGUAAAGGCUCACCAAGGCGAUGAUACAUAGCCGACCUGAGAGGGUGAUCGGCCACAUUGGGACUGAGACACGGCCCAAACUCCUACGGGAGGCAGCAGUAGGGAAUCUUCGGCAAUAGACGAAAGUCUGACCGAGCAACGCCGCGUGAGUGAAGAAGGUUUUCGGAUCGCAAAACUCUGUUGGUAGAGAAGAACGUUGGUGAGAGUGGAAAGCUCAUCAAGUGACGGUAACUACCCAGAAAAGGACGGCUAACUACGUG
rnacentral:rRNA from 1 species